GAUGAACGCUGGCGGCAGGCUUAAUACAUGCAAGUCGUGGGGCAGCAGGGGUGUAGCAAUACAUCUGCUGGCGACCGGCAAACGGGUGCGUAACACGUACGCAACCUUCCCGUUACUGUGGCAUAGCCCAGGGAAACUUGGAUUAAUACCACAUAUUAUAUUGAGGGGGCAUCCCUUUGAUAUCAAAGCUUCGGCGGUAACGGAUGGGCGUGCGGUUGAUUAGGUAGUUGGCGGGGUAACGGCCCACCAAGCCUACGAUCAAUAGCUGAUGUGAGAGCAUGAUCAGCCAAACGGGCACUGAGACACGGGCCCGACUCCUACGGGAGGCAGCAGUAAGGAAUAUUGGGCAAUGGACGAAAGUCUGACCCAGCCAUGCCGCGUGAAGGAUUAAGGUCCUCUGGAUUGUAAACUUCUUUUCUCUGGGGCGAAAACCAGCUAUUCUUAGCUAUUUGACAGUACCAGAGGAAUAAGCACCGGCUAACUCCGUGCCAGCCGCCACUGUAAAAC
rnacentral:rRNA from 1 species